UUGAACGCUGGCGGCAGGCCUCACACCUGCAAGUCGAGCGGAUGAAGGGAGCUUGCUCCUGGAUUCAGCGGCGGACGGGUGAGUAAUGCCUAGGAAUCUGCCUGGUAGUGGGGGAUAACGUCCGGAAACGGGCGCUAAUACCGCAUACGUCCUGAGGGAGAAAGUGGGGGAUCUUCGGACCUCACGCUAUCAGAUGAGCCUAGGUCGGAUUAGCUAGUUGGUGGGGUAAAGGCCUACCAAGGCGACGAUCCGUAACUGGUCUGAGAGGAUGAUCAGUCACACUGGAACUGAGACACGGUCCAGACUCCUACGGGAGGCAGCAGUGGGGAAUAUUGGACAAUGGGCGAAAGCCUGAUCCAGCCAUGCCGCGUGUGUGAAGAAGGUCUUCGGAUUGUAAAGCACUUUAAGUUGGGAGGAAGGGCAGUAAGUUAAUACCUUGCUGUUUUGACGUUACCAACAGAAUAAGCACCGGCUAACUUCGUG
rnacentral:rRNA from 1 species